rnacentral:rRNA from 1 species
UUGGCGGACGGGUGAGUAACGCGUGGGUAACCUGCCUCACACAGGGGGAUAACAGUUAGAAAUGACUGCUAAUACCGCAUAACCCGAUAGGAUCGCAUGAUCCAGACGGAAAAGAUUUAUCGGUGUGAGAUGGACCCGCGUCUGAUUAGCUAGUUGGUGAGGUAACGGCCCACCAAGGCAACGAUCAGUAGGGGUUCUGAGAGGAAGGUCCCCCACAUUGGAACUGAGACACGGUCCAA